rnacentral:rRNA from 1 species
UCGAGAAUCUUCCACAAUGGACGAAAGUCUGAUGGAGCGACACCGCGUGAUGGAUGAAGUGCUUAGGUAUGUAAACAUCUUUUAUGAGGGAAUAAGUUUAUUGAAGGUACCUCAUGAAUAAGGGCCUGCCAAACUCGUGCCAGCAGCAGCGGUAAGACGAGUGGCUCAAGUGUUAUCCGGAAUUAUUGGGCGUAAAGCGUGUGUAGGUGGAUAUAUUAGUCGAUUGUCAAACCCAUGAGCUCAACUUGUGGACAGCAGUCGAAACGGUAUAUCUUGAGUGUGUGAGGGGUAAGUGGAACUCAUAGUGUAGGGGUGAAAUCCGUUGAUAUUAUGGGGAACACCAAAAGCGAAGGCAACUUACUGGCACAUUACUGACACUGAGACACGAAAGCGUGGGUAG